UACAGAGGCCUCGAGCGUUAGGCGGAAUCACUGGGCUUAAAGCGUGUGUAGGCGGACUUCUAAGUACCUUGUGAAAUCCCACGGCUCACCCGUGGAACUGCUCGGUAUACUGGUCGUUUUGAGCCUUCUAGGGGCGAGUGGAACAAAUGGUGGAGCGGUGAAAUGCGUAGAUAUCAUUUGGAACGCCAAUGGUGAAAACAACUCGCUGGGGAAGUGCUGACGCUGAGACACGAAAGCCAGGGGAGCGAACGGG
rnacentral:rRNA from 1 species